AUGACUCUGAUCUGCGUCCUCAUCUGGACUCUCCUCUGCUGCUGCUUCACAGAGUCCAGAGGACAGGUCACAGUGACUCAGCCUGCAGCAGUGAGCUCUGCUCUGGGAGGCUCCGUCACCAUCUCAUGCAGGACCAGUCCGAGUGUUGCUCAUACAGACCACUUAUACUGGUUCCAGCAGAAAGAUGGAGAAUCACCUAAACAACUUAUACGCAACACCAAUCAGAGGAUGUCAGGGAUACCUGAACGGUUUUCAGGCAGUGGAUCUGGAUCAAGCUUCACUCUGACCAUCAGUGGAGUCCAGACUGAAGAUGCUGCAGUUUACUACUGUCUGAGUUUUCACUACAUCAACAGUCAGUAUCUGUACACACAGUGA